rnacentral:rRNA from 1 species
AUUGAACGCUGGCGGCAUGCCUUACACAUGCAAGUCGAACGGCAGCAUGGAGGAGCUUGCUCCUCUGAUGGCGAGUGGCGAACGGGUGAGUAAAGCAUCGGAACGUACCGUGUAGUGGGGGAUAACGUAGCGAAAGUUACGCUAAUACCGCAUACGCACUGAGGUGGAAAGCAGGGGAUCGCAAGACCUUGCGCUAUACGAGCGGCCGAUGUCAGAUUAGCUAGUUGGUAGGGUAAAGGCCUACCAAGGCGACGAUCUGUAGCGGGUCUGAGAGGAUGAUCCGCCACACUGGGACUGAGACACGGCCCAGACUCCUACGGGAGGCAGCAGUGGGGAAUUUUGGACAAUGGGGGAAACCCUGAUCCAGCCAUGCCGCGUGAGUGAAGAAGGCCUCGGUUGUAAGCUCUUCGGUCUGGGAAGGAAUACGCACAGGCGUAAUAACUCUGUGUGGAUGACGGUACCAGCAUAAGAAGACACCGGACG